rfam:Enterobacter aerogenes KCTC 2190, complete genome.
GUCUGGAGUUAGUGAUAGCCCUCGUUCAGUUGCCUGGUUAACACCAGCAACGUGCGAGGGUUUUCU